rnacentral:misc_RNA from 1 species
CAAGAGAUGCAGAAACAUAGCAUGCCAAAAUCAACUUCCAGCUGCUGAUUGUACUUGUGAAAUAUGUUCCAAUAGGAAAGGUUUUUGCAAUCUGUGCAUGUGUGUGAUCUGUAACAAGUUUGAUUUUGAAGUCAAUACUUGUCGUUGGAUUGGGUGCGAUCUAUGUUCUCAUUGGACUCACACUGAUUGUGCUAUUCGUGAUGGACAAAUUUCUAUGGGCCCUUCUGUAAAGAGUGGAUCUGGCCCAGCUGAAAUGCUUUUUCGAUGCCGGGCCUGUAAUCGAACAUCUGAACUCCUAGGGUGGGUGAAAGAUGUUUUUCAACAUUGUGCACCAGCAUGGGAUCGAGAGGCUUUAAUGAGAGAACUUGAUUUUGUCAGUAGAAUCUUCCGAGGAAGUGAAGACAACAGAGGCAGGAAACUUUUUUGGAAAUGUGAGGAACUUAUUGAUAAAAUGAAGGGUGGAAUUCCAGAGUCAACAGCCUGCAAAGUAAUUCUUAUAUUUUUCGCAGAACUUGAGGUAGACUCUCCUAAGAGCUUGGAAAAUGGGGAGGGUGGAAGGCUAAUAGCUCCACAGGAGGCAUGUAACCGAAUUGCUGA